rnacentral:misc_RNA from 1 species
GAAAUAAGGAAAACUUAGCAUCAUGAUAAGAGACUAAAAUGAAUCACACAAAACAAGGACCAAGAACAUUCUGCAGUUACUAAGGGAAAAUAGAAAGACUUAGCUCACAUAAAACCACAAAAAAAGACUCAAGGGCCCAUAGAAAUAAACCAUAGCACGCAGACACCAAACCAAGAUAUCUCCAGUCGAAGUGAUGCACCCCCGAAGCUAAAAAUCAAUAGAAUGCGAGAGAAGAGAUCUUGAAGAUCAUCAGCUCCAACCCUUGCUUACACCAUCAUAUACACAAGAUAAAACGAAAGAAAUAAAUAGCAACUUAAAAAUAUUCAAUACUCUCCCUUUAAUAACUUUCUUCCAUUACUUGAUUCUCCAAACACAUCAAAGUUAUGGACCCUUCAUCAAAGUUAAAAUUCUUCCUUGGGCUUAUUGAUUCGCUUUGUACAAGCCUCUCCUUCCGUUUAAUUAGUUGUCCUGGAUUGCAUUAUCUGCAUACCAAUAAAAUCCAACACAUCCAGGAGCAGCCUGAAGAUCAAGAUCAACCGCAUCAAUGCUCGCCAACCCUUAGCGUUCCAAGUGAAAAAACAAAACAUCAUGGUAGGAAAAAAAUCAAAAGCACCUAGAAUGAGAUAGCAUAGCAACAACAGCUAUGAAGAAGAGUCAAUUCUUCGCUUUACAAAGUAACCUCUCGAC